AAUACUGCCACUACUCAAAAUACAUGUAGGACAACAACACUUUCAAGUGGAUCUAUUAUGGGCGGGGUUUUCAUGCCUUCGAAAUGAGAUAAUAGGUCCUGAUUAUCAACACUACAUAACCACCUACUAGCUUAUGUUUUUUUCUCAAACUCGGGUGUAGAGUCUCACUCAAGCAGAAAUUAAAACCGAAAAUGGAAAAAUAAUAUAUCAAAUACAAGUUAAAAAAUUAAAACAUAAAAUAAAAUAAAA
rnacentral:lncRNA from 1 species